GCCUGUUUUAUAGACUGUUGCCUCCAAGUUUGAACCUAGAGAAGUAGUUGUUGGUUCAGUUGCUAUCAAUGCUUCUUCACAAAGCUUUAUGGCCUUAUGAAGAUCUUCCAGGUGGCCCCACUUAGGUUGUCUAAGAAGUCCAUAUUCAUCAAGAGGGGCAUCAUAAUCAUAACUUGUAGAAAUAAAGGGUCCACCACUAGUCCAUAUAAUAGUUUUGGAAAGUUCCCCCUAGCUGGUAAAAUCGUGCGACAGCAAAUGCGAGGUCUUCAACAGGUCUGUAGGGAAUAGCACCACCAAAGGAUAGAAACCACCCACU
rnacentral:misc_RNA from 1 species